CCCAGAGGCAGAAGUUCCUGGCGAGCCCUGUUAAGGGGAGGAAUUGGGUUUGGGCCGGCUUGAAGGGGCUUGAGGCUAUGACAGAGUUUAUACCCUGCUAGGGGUGACCCCCUGGGUUUGACGUGCUGUCUGACCUUGAGCGCACAGAGGGCCAGAGGAGGUGGGCGGACAGUCGACACGCUCCCGUAACCCAUUUGUGUGUGAAUAUCCACUAUCAUUUCUCUUGGAUAAAUGCCUAGCAGUGGAAUUGCUGAGUCAUACACUGAGAGUAGUGAGAGAAUACAGAGCAGACAAGAAAAAACAGCAGAUGCUUGUUGUUAAGAAUCUGACUGACCUGAACUUACUCUUGCAAUGGCCAGUGAAGAUCGCCAGGUUUUCGGGACAAAGCCAGGAACUGGAGAAGCCUCCAGGAUGGAGCUGGGACCUUGGGGGAAGGUCAGCAGGUUGAAAACACAGAUGUGGAAUUAAGAGGAAGGAAAGAGGAAGUGAGGCCAGAGAGGAAAAGACUGCAAGACUCAUCCCAGACAGACUGUAAGCCAGUGCUUUUCAGCAGGGGGCAAUUUUGCCCUACCUUCAUUUGACAGUGGGUGACCUUCAGCCGUUUCUGGAGUCGUGUUUGGUUACUAGAACUUGGGGUUAGGUGAUGCUGGUGUCUAGUGGGUAACGCCAGGAGUGCUGCUAACCAUUCUGUGGCAUACAGAACAGCCCCAACAACACACUCAUCUAGCUCAAAACAUUAGUAGUGCUGUGACUGAGAAACCUGCUCGAAACCAAUUGAGAAGGGACUCGACGGGAGGGCUAACAUUCUCAGCCCCCUCUGCACGUGUGUGUGUGAUCAGCUAAUAGCUUUCUUUCUAGCGAUUGUGCUGUUCCUACAAGCCCU
rnacentral:lncRNA from 1 species